rnacentral:rRNA from 1 species
AAUUUUGUACAAUUGGGGCAACCCUGAUCCAGCCAUGCCGCGCGUGUUAAGAAGUUCUUCGGACUGUACCGCCCUUUAAGUUGGAAGGAAUGGCUUUAGCUUAAUACCCUGAAGUUUUGACGUUACCAUCAGAAUAAGCACCGGCUAACUCACUGCCAGCAGCCGCGGUAAUACAGAGGGUUCAAGCGUUAAUCGGAAUUACUGGGCGUAAAGCGCGCGUAGGUGGUUCAGUAAGAUGGGUGUGAAAUCCCCGGGCUUAACCUGGGAACUGCUUUCAUAACUGCUGAGCUAGAGUACGGUAGAGGGUAGUGGAAUUUCCUGUGUAGCGGUGAAAUGCGUAGAUAUAGGAAGGAACACCAGUGGCGAAGGCGACUACCUGGACUGAUACUGACACUGAGGUGCGAAAGCGUGGGGAGCAAACAG